UUUGGGGGGGUUCCUGUUAUUUUUGGGUGAAAGGAGGAGCGUGGGGGGCUCCAGAGGAGGUUUUGGUGUGAAUCAAGGAGUGUUAAGAGCAAGGGGGGGCUCUGCCUUAAUCCCCCCCCCCUGCCGGGGACUGCUGGAGGGGACACUGAGGACAUGGCAGGUCCUGGCUGGGGGAGAAGCCCCCUGGCUCCUUGUACCACGGGGGGGUCCCAGCAGUCACCGUGGGACACACAUUGGGAUGCUCCAGGCUGGAAAUACCCCGAGGGGGGGUUGGAAAAGGCCCCCCCCAAGUCCUCAUUGGGGCUCACAGAACUGCUGGGAUUUGGGGAGACAACCCUGGGAUGAGGAGAAAUAAGGGCCACUGGAGAGAAUAAAGAAGAAGAUGGUGCCUGGGAAGGUUUUUCCUCAAGAAAGAUUGAUCCAGGGAAGGUUCUUCCCAAAAAAGAUGGAGCUUGGGAAGGUUUUUCCCCAGAAAGAUGGUGCCUGGGAAGGUUCUUCCCAAGAAAGAUUGAUCCAGGGAAGGUUCUUCCCAAGAAAGAUGGAUCCAGGGAAGGUUUUUCCCCAGAAAGAUGGAGCCUGGGAAGGUUUUUCCCCAGAAAGAUUGAUCCAGGGAAGGUUUUUCCUCAAGAAAGAUGGAUCCAGGGAAGGUUCUUCCCCAAGAAAGAUGGAUCCAGGGAAGGUUCUUCCCCAAGAAAGAUGGAUCCAGGGAAGGUUCUUCCUCAAGAAAGAUGGAUCCAGGGAAGGUUCUUCCCAAGAAAGAUGGAUCCAGGGAAGGUUCUUCCUAAGAAAGAUUGAUCCAGGGAAGGUUCUUCCUAAAAAAAGAUGGAGCUUGGGAAGGUUUUUCCCCAGAAAGAUGGUGCCUGGGAAGGUUUUUCCCAAAAAAGGAUGAUGCCUGGGAAGGUUUUUCCCAAGAAAACAUGGGAAGAUUCCCCGAAAAAGCCGCUGGAACCAGGCUCCGUGAUCUCUUUAUCUCCGUCUUUUUCUCCACCUCUUCCUUUCUCCAUCCCUCGGUUUCUCGUCGAGUCGUUAAGUAACAAUUAGAGUCAUUACGUAAUGACCUUAAGUACCUCCUGCUGUAAUUCCUUUUAUACCCAACCGAUUAACGUGGCCUCGUUAAGACCUGGACUAAUCAUUUGGGAAACUAAUAAAUGUUUAUAUGUGGCCCUUGAGAUUUCUCUC
rnacentral:lncRNA from 1 species